rnacentral:rRNA from 1 species
AUUGAACGCUGGCGGCAGGCCUAACACAUGCAAGUCGAGCGGAUGAGGAGAGCUUGCUCUCUGAUUCAGCGGCGGACGGGUGAGUAAUGCCUAGGAAUCUGCCUGGUAGUGGGGGACAACGUUCCGAAAGGAACGCUAAUACCGCAUACGUCCUACGGGAGAAAGUGGGGGAUCUUCGGACCUCACGCUAUCAGAUGAGCCUAGGUACGAUUAGCUAGUUGGUGAGGUAAAGGCACACCAAGGCGACGAUCGUUAACGGGUCUGAGAGGAUGAUCAGUCACACUGGAACUGAGACACGGUCCAGACUCCUACGGGAGGCAGCAGUGGGGAAUAUUGGACAAUGGGCGAAAGCCUGAUCCAGCCAUGCCGCGUGUGUGAAGAAGGUCUUCGGAUUGUAAAGCACUUUAAGUUGGGAGGAAGGGCAGUAAGUUAAUACCUUGCUGUUUUGACGUUACCGACAGAAUAAGCACCGGCUAACUUCGUGCCAGCCGCCGCGGUAAUAC